GAGUCGUCUUAACGAUAGAAGUGGAAUUUGAAAUGUUUACCAAGAUGGCGGCCGACCUUCACAGUGAACUUGGAAUGCUGACAGCGCUCCAGUGGGCAUUUUGUUAACUACGAGAGUUACGAGACAUGUUUUUAUUAUUUGUAGGUUAUGUUGUAAUUUUGGCGCAAAAUAAUAGUUGUGUUUAUUUAUAAUCAAUAAUUAUUAUUAGUUUGCAAGUUAUAUAAAUAUUUUUGCUACAAAAGCCAAAGUUUUAAAAUAAAAUUAUUUUUCAAAAUCGAUUAGAGCUAGACUAUAUAGCGGUAUGAUAACAUAAAAUAAUGAUGAAGAUUGAUGUUGGUUAUUCUUCACUGUACCAGGUACAAGAAAACAUGCAGUCUGUAAUCUACCCCCAUGUCAGUGUAGAGAGGCCUGUUCAUGAAGACACAAAAUCCUUCCACGACACCAAAACAUAUUACACAGUGUAGAUGGACGGAUAGAAAGCGUGAACAUCAAAAGCCAUCGUGUGUGUUACCCAGUUUCCAUUCUGCAUCUAACAAUAGGAACCAAGCAUCCAACAUCAUAACUUUAUUAUUAUAUAGUCCAGACAAUGAAUGCUCAAAAGAGGGUAUAGAGAGAAAAGUUUGGAAGACUAUAAUUGACCCCGCAAUUUUGUUUUGGGUAUUAAGGAGGCAAAAAUAUCCACACCCCUGCCCCUUGUGAUAAGGGGGUGGGGUGGUUCAAAGGUACCAGUUUUUGGUUUCUCGCAUAUAACUCGAAAACUAUGUAUCUUACGGACAUAACUGUUACAUACAAAAGUAAAGCUUAUAUAAUUUCCUACAAUAUUCAUCUCACAACUUUUCUAGUUUUCGAGAUAUCCGCUCUUAAAUGUGUGACAUUU